UUCCUCUCAUUAAAAUCAACUUUCUGUGUGACCUUAGAUUUUACUAACUUUCUGUUUCCUUUUUAUUUUCCAAAAACAGCCUCCUGCCUGAUCCUUUGAGGUUUGUUUUGAGGCUGAAAACAUAAGUUUCCUCUCUACUCUGGUGUUAUUUAAGGAAAAGACAGCCUCUCCCCUCCUCUCUCUUUGCUCUGGGAUGGGUGUGGUUUUCAAAGACAAACUUCUGAAUGAUGUAUACGCCUCCGUUUCAGUUCCUGAGUCUGACUAGAGGAGGAGUGUGGAGCAGAGCUUUGCUCAGGACUCUUAAAGUAGAGCUCAGUCUCCACAUGUAUGGACGCUCUGUACGGGCCAGGUGCCCUGCACGCUUGGCUGUGAGGAUCAGCACAGUCUUGGUUUAUUACAACUCGGAGAGUGCGAGUCACCUGGACUUAAUUAACAUUUCCGUAAUGCCUGUCUGGAGAUAAUUUCAAAUAAGCAGUCUUGGGAUGAGCACCAUUUAACAGGGUAAACCCUGUGAUGUGUGGAUCAUACUUGGCUAAAGAUGGUAACAAUUUGCUGGAAAGAGGACAAAUCUUGUCAACAGAAUCUAAUGGCUAAGGUGCGCACACACACAGAAGACCUGGGGUCGUGUAAACAGAAGACACUAUGGCUCCAUUCAAAGUCUGUUUUCUCAAGAGUAUGCGUGAGUCUGGGCAAAUUAUCCCCGUGAGCGGAGUGUGAAACAAGAUCCGUGUGAUACCACAGCAGUGUGGAACGGCGUGUGUCACCAGUACUUACUGGCAGCAUAUUACAUUAGCUGCUGGUUUUCUUCCUCACUUUCUCCUGGUCAUCUCAACAAUGGACCAGCUGGAGGGAUUCCUGGCAGAGUGAUUUGGAAUUAAAUCACAAAAUCACAUUGCCAGGGAUUUCCAACCAGCUGUGAACUGUUUACUCCAUGAAAGUCUCCGUGAGUCGCCCCCGCUUACACUCUGAUGGAUGAAGCCAUCAAAUCCGAAUCGAAGAGAACGGACCAAACCCUUUUUCCCACCAUGUCCCGAGGACUGAAUAAUCUACCCUCAGAAUAAACCAUACGCACUGAAAUAGAAAGCUCAUAUCUGUAGGUUCCAUAUGUUUCACUUUUUGUUCAUUAUAUAAACACUGGAUCUCAUCUUGUGGUUUUGGGGAACUGGAAACAUGAUACUAAGCUACUGUGCCAUACAGACAUGAGGCCCAACAUAAUGUGAAUAUAAAAGGCUGUGGCUUCAACAGCUGAGACCAUCUUUGAAAUGGGUUCUGGAAAUUGUGCCAUUCUGCUUUGUCAAAUAACUGGAUGUGUGAGGAAAAUUAUGCUAAUAGGUUUGUUAAAUAAAGAAU